UACGUAGGGGGCAAGCGUUGUCCGGAAUCAUUGGGCGUAAAGAGCGUGUAGGCGGUUCGGUAAGUCUGCUGUGAAAGUCCAGGGCUCAACCCUGGGAUGCCGGUGGAUACUGUCGAGCUCGAGUCCGGAAGAGGCGAGUGGAAUCUUGGUGUAGCGGUGAAAUGCGCAGAUAUCAGGAGGAACACCAAUGGCGAAGGCAGCUCACUGGACCGGAACUGACGCUGAGGCGCGAAAGCGUG
rnacentral:rRNA from 1 species